GACGAACGCUGGCGGCGUGCUUAACACAUGCAAGUCGAACGGUAAGGCCCUGCUUUUGUGGGGUGCUCGAGUGGCGAACGGGUGAGUAACACGUGAGUAACCUGCCCUCGACUUUGGGAUAACUUCAGGAAACUGGGGCUAAUACCGGAUAGGAGCUCCUGCUGCCUUGGGGGGGGUGGAAAGUUUCGGCGGUUGGGGAUGGACUCCCGGCUUAUCAGCUGGUUGGUGGGGUAGUGGUUUACCAAGGCUUUGACGGGUAGCCGGCCUGAGAGGGUGACCGGCCACAUUGGGACUGGGAUACGGCCCAGAGUACUACGGGAGGCAGCAGUGGGGAAUAUUGCACAAUGGGCGGAAGCCUGAUGCAGCAACGCCGCGUGCGGGAUGACGGCCUUCGGGUUGUAAACCGCUUUCGCCUGUAACGAAGCGUGAGUGACGGUAAUGGGUAAAGAAGCACCGGCUAACUACGUG
rnacentral:rRNA from 1 species